rnacentral:rRNA from 1 species
AUUGAACGCUAGCGGGAUGCUUUACACAUGCAAGUCGAACGGCAGCGCGGACUUCGGUCUGGCGGCGAGUGGCGAACGGGUGAGUAAUGUAUCGGAACGUGCCCAGUAGCGGGGGAUAACUACGCGAAAGCGUAGCUAAUACCGCAUACGCCCUACGGGGGAAAGCAGGGGAUCGUAAGACCUUGCACUAUUGGAGCGGCCGAUAUCGGAUUAGCUAGUUGGUGAGGUAACGGCUCACCAAGGCGACGAUCCGUAGCUGGUUUGAGAGGACGACCAGCCACACUGGGACUGAGACACGGCCCAGACUCCUACGGGAGGCAGCAGUGGGGAAUUUUGGACAAUGGGGGCAACCCUGAUCCAGCCAUCCCGCGUGGGCGAUGAAGGCCUUCGGGUUGUAAAGCACUUUUGUCAGGAAAGAAACGUCGCGGGCUAAUACCCCGUUGAACUGACGGUACCUGCAGAAUAAGCACCGGCUAACUACGUG